rnacentral:rRNA from 1 species
UACAGAGGGGAGCAAGCGUUAUUCGGAAUUAUUGGGCGUAAAGGGCGCGUAGGCGGCUUUGCAAGUGACGGGUGAAAGCCCUCGGCUUAACCGAGGAACUGCCUGUCAGACUGUGAGGCUUGAGACCGGGAGAGGUGAGUGGAAUUCCCAGUGUAGCGGUGAAAUGCGUAGAUAUUGGGAGGAACACCAGUGGCGAAGGCGGCUCACUGGACCGGAACUGACGCUGAGGCGCGAAAGCGUGGGGAGCAAACA